rnacentral:rRNA from 1 species
AGGUAAGCUACUAAGAGCGAAUGGUGGAUGCCUUGACUGGUAAAGGCGAUGAAGGACGUACUAGACUGCGAUAAGCUACGGGGAGCUGUCAAGAAGCUUUGAUCCGUAGAUUUCCGAAUGGGGCAACCCAAUGUAUAGAGAUAUACAUUACCUAUAUAGGAGCGAACGAGGGGAAUUGAAACAUCUUAGUACCCUCAGGAAAAGAAAUCAAUAGAGAUUGCGUCAGUAGCGGCGAGCGAAAGCGCAAGAGGGCAAACCCAGUGCUUGCACUGGGGGUUGUAGGACUGCAAUGUGCAAGAGGUAAGUUUAGCAGAACAUUCUGGAAAGUAUAACCAUAGAGGGUGAUAGUCCCGUAUGCGAAAAACAAACCUUAGCUAGCAGUAUCCUGAGUAGGGCGGGACACGAGGAAUCCUGUCUGAAUCUGGGUCGACCACGAUCCAACCCUAAAUACUAAUACCAGAUCGAUAGUGCACAAGUACCGUGAGGGAAAGGUGAAAAGAACUGAGGUGAUCAGAGUGAAAUAGAACCUGAAACCAUUUGCUUACAAUCAUUCAGAGCCCUAUGUAGCAAUACAGGGUGAUGGACUGCCUUUUGCAUAAUGAGCCUGCGAGUUGUGGUGUCUGGCAAGGUUAAGCAAACGCGAAGCCGUAGCGAAAGCGAGUCUGAAUAGGGCGCUUAGUCAGAUGCUGCAGACCCGAAACGAAGUGAUCUAUCCAUGAGCAAGUUGAAGCUAGUGUAAGAACUAGUGGAGGACUGAACCCAUAGGCGUUGAAAAGCCCCGGGAUGACUUGUGGAUAGGGGUGAAAGGCCAAUCAAACUUCGUGAUAGCUGGUUCUCUCCGAAAUAUAUUUAGGUAUAGCGUUGUGUCGUAAUAUAAGGGGGUAGAGCACUGAAUGGGCUAGGGCAUACACCAAUGUACCAAACCCUAUCAAACUCCGAAUACCUUAUAUGUAAUCACAGCAGUCAGGCGGCGAGUGAUAAAAUCCGUCGUCAAGAGGGAAACAACCCAGACUACCAGCUAAGGUCCCUAAAUCUUACUUAAGUGGAAAACGAUGUGAAGUUACUUAAACAACCAGGAGGUUGGCUUAGAAGCAGCCAUCCUUUAAAGAAAGCGUAAUAGCUCACUGGUCUAGUGAUUUUGCGCGGAAAAUAUAACGGGGCUAAAGUAAGUACCGAAGCUGUAGACUUAGUUUACUAAGUGGUAGGAGAGCGUUCUAUUUGCGUCGAAGGUAUACCGGUAAGGAGUGCUGGAGCGAAUAGAAGUGAGCAUGCAGGCAUGAGUAGCGAUAAUUAAUGUGAGAAUCAUUAACGCCGUAAACCCAAGGUUUCCUA